CUGGAUGUUACAGGAACAGAUGAGACACAUGUUUGUUUAUCCAGUGAAGAGUGACUGAUGAAGCAAUGCUGCCAUCAAAGGCUCUCAAGCUUUUGUGGUGGAGCAGGACCUGCAAGGAAAGGUGACGGCGGCAUUUGUGAA